GAUGAACGCUAGCGAUAGGCCUAACACAUGCAAGUCGAGGGGCAGCACAAGGUAGCUUGCUAUCUGGGUGGCGACCGGCGCACGGGUGCGUAACGCGUAUGCAACUUGCCCUAUACAGGAGGAUAACCCUCGAAAAGCCGGCCUAAUCUUCGGAUGCCUACCACCUGGCCAUCAGGUGUUGGGGAAGGAAUUCCGUAUUAGGAUAGGCAUGCGUCCCAUUAGCUUGUUGGUGAGGUAACGGCUCACCAAGGCAACGAUGGUUAGGGGAACUGAGAGGUUUAUCCCCCACACUGGUACUGAGACACGGACCAGACUCCUACGGGAGGCAGCAGUGAGGAAUAUUGGUCAAUGGGCGCGAGCCUGAACCAGCCAAGUCGCGUGAAGGAUGACUGUCUUAUGGAUUGUAAACUUCUUUUAGACGGGAAUAACAAGAGUCACGUGUGACUCCCUGCAUGUACCGUAUGAAUAAGCAUCGGCUAACUCCGUG
rnacentral:rRNA from 1 species